UACGUAGGGUGCAAGCGUUGUCCGGAAUUAUUGGGCGUAAAGAGCUCGUAGGCGGUUUGUUGCGUCGGCUGUGAAAUCCCGAGGCUCAACCUCGGGUCUGCAGUCGAUACGAGCAAACUAGAGUGUUGCAGGGGAGACUGGAAUUCCUGGUGUAGCGGUGGAAUGCGCAGAUAUCAGGAGGAACACCGGUGGCGAAGGCGGGUCUCUGGGCAGUAACUGACGCUGGAGGAGCGAAAGCGUGGGGAGCGAACAGG
rnacentral:rRNA from 1 species